GGGCGGUAAAGACGCAUGCAGGUGGUUUGUUUAAGUUCAGAUGUGAAAGACCCGGGGCGUCAACCUCCGGAAUAAGCAUUUGUAAACUAGGCAGACUAGAGUACUGUAGAGGGGGGUAGGGAAUUUCUAGGUGUAGCGGUGAAAUAGCGUAGAGAUCUGAAGGAAUACCGGUGGCGAAGGCGGCCCCCUCGGACAGAUACUGACACUCAGAUGCGAAAGCGUGGGGAGCAAACAGGAUUAGAUACCCUGGUAG
rnacentral:rRNA from 1 species